UUGUGUUGUAGUUGUGUUGUCAUGUUGUAUUGUAGUAACCCUCAACUGUAUUUAAUGGUGUUAUGUAGUUGUGUUGUCAUGUUGUAUUGUAGUAACCCUCAACUGUAUUUAAUGGUGUUAUGUAGUUGUGUUGUCAUGUUGUAUUGUAGUAGGCCCAAAUACUUUUUUCUGAUGAUGGAGAGAGACACCAGACAGGACACAGAGACAGCAACAGAGGAAUAGGAUAUGAUGGAGAGAGACACCAGACAGGACACAGAGACAGCAACAGAGUAGGAUAUGACGGAGUGAGACACCAGACAGGACACAGAGACAACAGAAGAAUAGGAUAUGAUGGAGAGAGACACCAAACAAGACACAGAGACAGCAACAGAAGAAUAGGAAAUGAUGGAGAGAGACACCAGACAAGACAGAGACAGCAACAGAAGAAUAGGAUGUGAUGGAGAGAGACACCAGACAAGACACAGAGACAGCAACAGAGUAGGAUAUGACGGAGUGAGACACCAGACAAGACACAGAGACAGCAACAGAGGAAUAGGAUAUGAUGGAGAGAGACACCAGACAAGACACAGAGACAGCAACAGAAGAAUAGGAUGUGAUAGAGAGAAACACCAGACAAGACACAGAGACAGCAACAGACGACACAGAGAAAGUGAUGGAGAGAGACAGAAGAAUAGAGUUCCAGACAGUUGUAGAAUGUAUGCCAAGACACAUUGUAAGAGCUAUAAAGAGAGAGGGAGGGAGAGAGAACAGGCAGAACCUGAUAUGUAAAUGAGCAGAGCAAAUGAAACUCACUUUUGACGACCUGAUGAUCAACCAGACUGUGUUUCUAUUGAGAGAUAAAAGGCUGGUUGAAUGAGUUGCCUAUGAAAGCUACUUCAUCUGUAAGAAAACAGGCGUCUGCACCAGUGACUGGGUCAGUGCUCUAAAAUGAGUCUCUCUGGGGAGAGAGAGGAGGGGGGCCCUGCCUCUAAAAUGAGUCUCUCUGGGGAGAGAGAGGAGGGGGGCCCUGCCUCUAAAAUGAGUGUCUCUGGGGAGAGAAAGGAGGGUGGCCCUGCCUCUAAAAUGAGUCUCUCUGGGGAACAUGACACUAAAGC